GGUCAAGCGAACAAGGGCGCAGGGCGAAUGCCUUGGCACUGGGAGCCGAUGAAAGACGUGAUAAGCUGCGAUAAGCUUCGGGGAGCUGCAAAUAAGCAUUGAUCCGGAGAUUUCUGAAUGAGGAAACUCACCUGGGUUCAUACUCAGGUACGAUCUACUGAACUUCAAAAUAGGUAGAUCGAGGGAACCGCCUGAACUGAAACAUCUAAGUAGGGCGAGGAAGAGACAUCAAACGAGAUUCCGUAAGUAGUGGCGAGCGAACGCGGAAGAGGGCAAACCGGGAGUCGAAAGACUUCCGGGGUACGGACUGCUUUUAGGACUCAAUCUGUUAACCGAACGGCAUGGGAAGGCCGGUCAGAGAGUGUGAGAACCACGUAGGUGAAAACGGAAAGAGCUGCGCAAGUUCCAGAGUACGGCCAGACACGUGAAACCUGGUCGGAAGAUGGGGGGACCACCCUCCAACCCUAAAUACUACCCAGUGACCGAUAGCGUAUAGUACUGUGAAGGAAAGGUGAAAAGCACCCC
rnacentral:rRNA from 1 species